AAUGAACGCUGGCGGCAGGCCUAAAACAUGCAAGUCGAACGCCCUAGCAAUAGGGAGUGGCGCACGGGUGAGUAACAUGUGGGAAUAUGCCUUUUGGUACGGAACAACGUUUGGAAACGAACGCUAAUACCGUAUGGUCCCUCCGGGGUAAAGAUUUAUCGCCAAAAGAUUAGCCCGCACUAGAUUAGCUAGUUGGUAAGGUAAUGGCUUACCAAGGCGACGAUCUAUAGCUGUUCCGAGAGGAAGAUCAGCCACACUGGGACUGAGACACGGCCCAGACUCCUACGGGAGGCAGCAGUUAGGAAUAUUGGACAAUGGGCGCAAGCCUGAUCCAGCCAUGCCGCGUGAGUGAUGAAGGCCUUCGGGUUGUAAAGCUCUUUAGCCGACGAAUAUAGUGACUGUAGUCGGAGAAUAAGCCCCGGCUAACUUCGUGCCAGCAGCAGCCGCGGUAA
rnacentral:rRNA from 1 species